rnacentral:rRNA from 1 species
CCAGACUCCUACGGGAGGCAGCAGUGAGGAAUAUUGGUCAAUGGCCGGAAGGCUGAACCAGCCAAGCCGCGUGAAGGACGAAGGUGCCAAGCAUUGUAAACUUCUUUUGUCAAGGGACAAAAUCAGGCUCGAGAGCCUGACCGAGGGUACUUGAAGAAAAAGCAUCGGCUAACUCCGUGCCAGCAGCCGCGGUAAUACGGAGGAUGCGAGCGUUAUCCGGAUUUAUUGGGUUUAAAGGGUGCGUAGGCGGUCUGUUAAGUCAGCGGUAAAAUUGCGGGGCUCAACCCCGUCGAGCCGUUGAAACUGGCAGACUUGAGUUGGCGAGAAGUACGCGGAAUGCGCGGUGUAGCGGUGAAAUGCAUAGAUAUCGCGCAGAACUCCGAUUGCGAAGGCAGCGUGCCGGCGCCAGACUGACGCUGAGGCACGAAAGCGUGGGUAUCGAACAGGAUUAGAUACCCCAGUA